GACGAACGCUGGCGGCGUGCUUAACACAUGCAAGUCGAACGGAAAGGCCCUGCUUUUGUGGGGUGCUCGAGUGGCGAACGGGUGAGUAACACGUGAGUAACCUGCCCUUGACUUUGGGAUAACUUCAGGAAACUGGGGCUAAUACCGGAUAGGAGCUCCUGCUGCAUGGUGGGGGUUGGAAAGUUUCGGCGGUUGGGGAUGGACUCGCGGCUUAUCAGCUUGUUGGUGGGGUAGUGGCUUACCAAGGCUUUGACGGGUAGCCGGCCUGAGAGGGUGACCGGCCACAUUGGGACUGAGAUACGGCCCAGACUCCUACGGGAGGCAGCAGUGGGGAAUAUUGCACAAUGGGCGGAAGCCUGAUGCAGCAACGCCGCGUGCGGGAUGACGGCCUUCGGGUUGUAAACCGCUUUCGCCUGUGACGAGGCGUGAGUGACGGUAAUGGGUAAAGAAGCACCGGCUAACUACGUGCCAGCAGCCGCGGUGAUACGUAGGGUGCGAGCGUUGUCCGGAUUUAUUGGGCGUAAAGGGCUCGUAGGUGGUUGAUCGCGUCGGAAGUGUAAUCUUGGGGCUUAACCCUGAGCGUGCUUUCGAUACGGGUUGACUUGAGGGAGGUAGGGGAGAAUGGAAUUCCUGGUGGAGCGGUGGAAUGCGCAGAUAUCAAGAGGAACACCAGUGGCGAAGGCGGUUCUCUGGGCCUUUCCUGACGCUGAGGAGCGAAAGCGUGGGGAGCGAACAGGCUUAGAUACCCUGGUAGUCCACGCUGUAAACGGUGGGUACUAGGUGUGGGGUCCAUUCCACGGGUUCCGUGCCGUAGCUAACGCUUUAAGUACCCCGCCUGGGGAGUACGGCCGCAAGGCUAAAACUCAAAGGAAUUGACGGGGCCCCGCACAAGCGGCGGAGCAUGCGGAUUAAUUCGAUGCAACGCGUAGAACCUUACCUGGGUUUGACAUGGAUCGGGAGUGCUCAGAGAUGGGUGUGCCUCUUUUGGGGUCGGUUCACAGGUGGUGCAUGGCUGUCGUCAGCUCGUGUCGUGAGAUGUUGGGUUAAGUCCCGCAACGAGCGCAACCCUUGUUCACUGUUGCCAGCACGUUAUGGUGGGGACUCAGUGGAGACCGCCGGGGUCAACUCGGAGGAAGGUGGGGAUGACGUCAAGUCAUCAUGCCCCUUAUGUCCAGGGCUUCACGCAUGCUACAAUGGCUGGUACAGAGAGUGGCGAGCCUGUGAGGGUGAGCGAAUCUCGGAAAGCCGGUCUCAGUUCGGAUUGGGGUCUGCAACUCGACCUCAUGAAGUCGGAGUCGCUAGUAAUCGCAGAUCAGCAACGCUGCGGUGAAUACGUUCCCGGGGCU
rnacentral:rRNA from 1 species